CCAUUUUUAACCGGAUUUUUGUGACAAAAAUGUCGGUUAUUGAUUUGGGGAUGUACGGCGGGCGGUCGGGCGGGCGGGCGGCAAUCAAAUGUUGUCCGUGCAUUAACUCAUGAACCGUUCAACCAAAGCUUUUAAAAUUUUAAUAUGUUAUUACUGACAACAAUACGAAGGUCAAGUUCAAUAAUGGCGAUUUUGACUUUUACCGUUCAGGAGUUAUGGUUCUUGAAAGAUUGAAAAAUUGAGUUUCCGGUCGUGUUUGUGCAUUUACGCAUGAACUGUUCUACCAAAGCUUCCCAAAUUUUAAUAUGUUGUUACUGAUGACAGAAUGGAGGUCAAGUUCAAUAAUGACGAUUUUGACUUUUACCGUUCAGGAGUUGUGGUUCUUGAAAGAUUGAAAAAUGGAGUUUCUAGUCGUGUCCGUGCAUUUAUGCACGAACUGUUCUACCAAAGCUUCCGAAAUUUUAAUAUGUUGUUACUGAUGACAGAAUGGAGGUCAAGUUCAAUAAUGACGAUUUUGACUUUUACCGUUCAGGAGUUGUGGUUCUUGAAAGAUUGAAAAAUGGAGUUUCUAGUCGUGUCCGUGCAUUUAUGCAUGAACUGUUCUACCAAAGCUUCCGAAAUUUUAAUAUGCUGUUACUGAUGACAAAAUGGAGGUCAAGUUCAAUAAUGACGAUUUUGACUUUUACCUUUCAGGAGUUAUGGUUCUUGAAAGAUUGAAAAAUGGUGUUUCCCGUCGUGUCCGUGCAUUUUCUCAUGAACCAUUCAACCAAAGCUUUUGAAAUUUUAAUAUAAUGUUACUAAUGACAAAAUAGAGG
rnacentral:lncRNA from 1 species